rnacentral:misc_RNA from 1 species
GAGACGCCGUCGGGAGAUCCGGGAAGAGUUUUCUUUUCUGUAUAAGCGUUCGAGUUCCCUGGAAACCUCUAGCAGGGAGAUAGGGUUUGGAACGCGAAGAGCACCGCAGUUGCGGCGGUGUCCGGAUCUUCCCCUCGGACCUUGAAAAUCCAGGAGAGGGCCACGUGGAGGUGUCGCGCCGGUUCGUACCCAUAUCCGCAGCAGGUCUCCAAGGUAAAGAGCCUCUAGUCGAUAGAUUAAUGUAGGUAAGGGAAGUCGGCAAAUUGGAUCCGUAACUUCGGAAUAAGGAUUGGCUCUGAGGAGCGGGGCGUGUCGGGCUUGGUCGGGAAGCGGGUUUGGCUGACCUCGGUCCCGUGCCUUGGCCUCCCGCGGAUCUUCCUUGCUGCGAGGCUUCCGUGGCGGUUUUACCGUCGCGGUCGUUCUCUUCGGCCGCCAUUCAACGCUCAGCUCAGAACUGGCACGGACUAGGGGAAUCCGACUUAAGCGCGAGUCAUAAGCUCGCGUUGAUUACGUCCCUGCCCUUUGUACACACCGCCCGUCGCUACUACCGAUUGAAUGAUUUAGUGAGGUCUUCGGACUGGUGCGCGGCCAAUGUGAUAAGCAUUGCCGAUGUUACCGGGAAGAUGACCAAACUUGAUCAUUUAGAGGAAGUAAAAGUCGUAACAAGGUUUCCGUAGGUGAACCUGCGGAAGGAUCAUUAACGAUAUAAC